AUGGUCAGGCACAUGGCAAAACCCUAUAAAUGUGUGCUGAUACUUGGGCAGGAAGGAGUUAAGACCAGGGAGGCAGCAGCCAUGGAUCAGGGGAGACCCCAUUUCUGUCGGAAAUGUCUCCAGAGAGCCUGGUGCACAGCCCAGCACAGGGGAAACCAGAGCCAGGCUCUCAGAAAUUUCCUCUUCCUGUGGGGCUGCUGAUGUGAGAACCUCAUGACGGGAAGGACCCAGCCUCCAAGUGGCCACACCCUGUGUGCCUUUCUGUCCUGCGGGCACCGUGGUCUCACCCAUCGGCACAGCCGGGACCAGCGAGAGGAGACGCCAUGACCCCCACCCUCACGGCCCUGCUCUGCCUCGGGCUGAGUCUGGGCACCAGGACCCGCGUGCAGGCAGGGACCCUCCCCAAACCCACCCUCUGGGCUGAGCCAGCCUCUGUGAUCACCUGGGGGAGCCCUGGUACCAUCUGGUGUCAGGGGACCCUGGAUGCCAAGGAGUACCGUCUGGAUAAAGAGGGAAGAUCAGUGCCCUGGGACAGACAGACACCACUGGAGCCUGGGAACAACGUCAAGUUCCACAUCGCACACAUGACAGAGCUCUAUGCAGGGCGAUAUCGCUGUUACUAUUACAGCCCUGCUGGGUGGUCAGAGCCCAGUGACACCCUGGAGCUGGUGGUGACAGGAUUCUAUGCUAGUAAACCCACCCUGUCAGCCCUGCCAAGCCCUGUGGUGACCCCAGGAGGAAACGUGACACUGCAGUGUGUCUCACAGCGGGGAUUUGGCAGGUUCAUUCUGAUCAAGGAAGGACAGAAGCUCUCCUGGACCCGGGACUCACAGCAAACCUCCUCUGGGCAGUUCCAGGCCCUGUUCCCUGUGGGCCCUGUGACCCCCAGCCACAGGUGGAUGUUCAGAUGCUAUGGCUGUUACAAGAACAACCCACAGAUAUGGUCAGUUCCCAGUGACCCCCUGGAGGUACUGGUCUCAGGUGUGUCUAGGAAGCCCUCCCUGCUCAGCACGCAGGGCCCUGUCCUGGCCCCUGGACAGAACCUGACCCUCCAGUGUUGCUCUGAUGUCGGCUACGACAGAUUCGCUCUGUACAGGAAGGGGGACAUGUCCUCGCCCAGGGCCCUGGCUGGCAGCCCCAGGCUGGGCUGUCUCAGGCCGACUUCCCCCUGGGCCCUGUGAGCGGCUCCCACGGGGGCCAGUACAGAUGUACGGUGGACACAACCUCUCCUCCGAGUGGUCGCCCCCAGCGACCCCCUGGACAUCCUGAUCACAGGACAGCUCAGUGACAGACCCUCCCUCUCGGUGCAGCUGAGCCCCACGGUGGCCUCAGGAGAGAACGUGACCCUGUUGUGUCAGUCCUGGAGGAGCAUGGAAAUUUUCUUUCUGACCAAGGAGGGGGCAGCCCAUCCCCCACUGCGUCUCAGAUCAAAGUACCGAGCUCACAGUACUAGGCUGAAUUCCCCAUGAGUCCUGUGACUUCAGCCCAUGGGGGCACCUACAGGUGCUACGGCUCACACAGCACCUCCCCCUACCUGUUGUCACUGCCCAGUGAGCCCCUGGAGGUCAUGGUCUCAGGUGAGGACCCCAACCCUGUCCUGUCUGAGCUCAAAGGGUCAGCUCAGGCCCUGCCCCAGGAGAGCUCUGGGACAAGGAAUGAGGGUGAAGGGGAUCACCCCCAGGAGAGGGUCCGGAAAUCCCCGCACCCCCAGGAUUACACAGUGGAGAAUCUCGUCCGCAUGGGCCUGGCUGUCUUGAUCCUGGUGGCCCUCGGGAUUCUGCUGUUUCGGCAUUGGCACAGCCAGAAGAGACACCAGGAUGCAGCCGAGAGGGAAGGACCCAGCCUCCAAGUGGCCACACCCUGUGUGCCUUUCUGUCCUGCGGGCACCGUGGUCUCACCCAUCGGCACAGCCGGGACCAGCUCGGGAGGAGACGCCAUGACCCCCACCCUCACGGCCCUGCUCUGCCUCGGGCUGAGUCUGGGCACCAGGACCCGCGUGCAGGCAGGGACCCUCCCCAAACCCACCCUCUGGGCAGAGCCAGCCUCUGUGAUCACCUGGGGGAGCCCUGGUAUCAUCUGGUGUCAGGGGACCCUGGAUGCCAAGGAGUACCGUCUGGAUAAAGAGGGAAGAUCAGAGCCCUGGGACAGACAGACACCACUGAAGCCUGGGAACAAGGCCAAGUUCAACAUCCCACACAUGGCAGAGUACUAUGUAGGGCGAUAUCACUGUUACUAUUACAGCCCUGCUGGGUGGUCAGAGCCCAGUGACGCCCUGGAGCUGGUGGUGACAGGAUUCUAUGAUAGUAAACUCACCCUGUCAGCCAUGCCAAGCCCUGUGGUAACCCCAGGAGGAAACGUGACACUGCAGUGUGUCUCACAGCAGGGAUUUGGCAGGUUCAUUCUGAUCGAGGAAGGACAGAAGCUCUCCUGGACCCGGGACUCACAGCGGACCUCCUCUGGGCAGUCCUAUGCCCUGUUCCCUGUGGGCCCUGUGACCCCCAGCCACAGGUGGAUGUUCAGAUGCUAUGGCUUUUACAGGAACAACCCACAGAUAUGGUCGGUUCCCAGUGACCCCCUGGAGGUACUGGUCUCAGGAUCAUCUGGGCACUCCAGCCCCCCAACCGCAGGGCCGUCCUCAACACCUGCUCCUGCCCUGACCAAGAGGCCUGAGGAUCAGCCCCUCCCCCACGGGGUCUGGCCCCAGAGUGGUCAGGGAAGGUUCCUGGAGGUUCUGAUCGCGGUGUCGGUGGCCUUCGUCCUGCUGCUGUCCUUGCUCCUCUUCCUCCUCCUCCUCCGACACCGGCGUCGGGGCAAACACAGGUCGUCGGCCCAGAGGCAGGCUGACCUCCCACGUCCUGCGGGGGCCGCGGAGCCAGAGCGCAAGGACAGAGGCCUGCGCAAGAGGUCCAGCCCCGCUGCCGACGACCAGGAAGAAAAGCUCUAUGCUGCCGUGAAGGACACACAGCCUGGGGAGGAGGUGGAGCUGGACAGCCGGGCUGCCACAUCUGAAGACCCCCAGGACGUGACCUACACCCAGCUGCACAGCUGGACCCCCAGACGGGGGACAACUGCACCUCCUUUGUCCCAGGAGAGAGACCCUCCAGCUGAGCCCAGCGUGUACGCUGCGCUGGCCAUCCACUAGCCCAGGAGGGACCCAGACCCUACCCUGCAUGGAGGGAGAUUCGGGGACCCUGCAAAGCACAGGAGCUGCCCCCAGGACACUAACCAGCGAACCCCAGCCUGGAACCCUGACAAAGACUACUGGGAGGUUCUGGGAACUUCUGGGAGUCACCUGACUCUGCAGUCAGAGAUAAAUAGUAUCAAGAUGUACAUUUUGGAAAUAAAGCAACAGACUUCUCAAUAAUCAAUGAGUUCAAUGAGAAAAUCAAAA